rnacentral:rRNA from 1 species
GACGAACGCUGGCGGCGUGCUUAACACAUGCAAGUCGAACGGGAUCCAAAGGCUUUUUGUUUUUGGUGAGAGUGGCGAACGGGUGAGUAACACGUGAGUAACCUGCCCCCUUCUUUUGGAUAACCGCAUGAAAGUGUGGCUAAUACAGGAUAUUCCAGGCUGGUCGCAUGAUUGGUUUGGGAAAUGGUUUGGUCUGGUGGGGGAUGGGCUCGCGGCCUAUCAGCUUGUUGGUGGGGUGAUGGCCUACCAAGGCGGUGACGGGUAGCCGGCCUGAGAGGGUGGGCGGUCACACUGGGACUGAGAUACGGCCCAGACUCGUACGGGAGGCAGCAGUGGGGGAUUUUGCACAAUGGGCGCAAGCCUGAUGCAGCGACGCCGCGUGAGGGAUGAAGGCCUUCGGGUUGUAAACCUCUUUCGUUGGGUUGAAAGGCCAUGCUUUGGGUGUGGUUGAUUUGAACUGGUAGAGAAGUACCGGCUAACUACGUG